rnacentral:lncRNA from 1 species
GUUUUACUCUGUUGCCCAGGCUGGGGUGCAGGGGCAUGAACAUGGCUCACUGCACCCUUGACCUUCUGGGCUCAAGCGAUCCUCUUGCCUCAGGCUUCUGUUUAGCUGGGGCCACAGGCGGGCACCAAAAUGCCUGGCUAAUUUUUUUGUUUUUAUUUUGGUAGAGACGAGGUCUCACUUUGUUGCCCAUGCUGUUCUCAAACUUCUCGGCUCAAGUGAUCCUCCCACCUCGGCCUCCCAAAGUGCUGUGUUACAGGCAUAAGCCACUGCACCUGGUCUCUACUUCGUUCUUACUCUUCUUCCCGACUCUGUGAUCAGCUCUUUUUCCUCACUGACAUCUCUUAUCACCAGCAGAGGCCUACCACUAGACACCAGUGGUUCUACUUCCCUGGUUGAGCCCUGGUAGAUACGGUUCCUGAGAACUUCAUGGAGCAGUUUCUGCACCAAACCUGCCCUCUCUACCUCUGGACCUCUACGUGGAAAAGAGAAGUCCGUAUUGGAAGCCUUGACUCUGGCCCAGACAUUUCUGCUGUACCUCAUGUAGGGUGAGCCCAGGACCUGCCACACUGUGCCAGCCUCGCCCAAGCCACCCCCCAGCCAGGACGCGGUCUUUCCUGACUCAGCAGGCUGAGGCACCUGAGGCUUUCAUUUUAAUUAUGAACCACUUCAAAGCCUUUCUGGAAGCAGUCUCUGCAAUAACCAACCUGGGUUCUCUCCUAAUGUGGGGAUUGUCCUGGAGCCCAGGCCUUCCAAGGCUCCUCCGCCCGCCAACAUCACCUACCUCAUCUUCCUCUUCAGCACAUCCCCAACAUUGUCUAAGCGGUAACUCACCUGAGCAAAGCACUUGACACGGAUUCAUUCAUUUACUCCUCACAACAACCUGAUGAGAGCACUGAUUAACUUCAAAGGGGAAAAACAAUAACCUUUACAAUGGAUAGAUCUGGCAGGAACCAUGUUAACCAAGUGAUCAAAGGUAGCAUCACCAAUAAUGGGGCAAACCGACAUCCUGUGCUUCCCCAUUGAUGCGCCGAGAAGGACACAGCAUUGCUCAUGCAGCAUCCUUGUCAAAAAUGCGUAAACGGAAUCUAAUCAUGAGAAAACUGCCAGACAGCCAAACUCUUCAGAAAUGUCAAUAUAAUGAAAGGCAACAAAGAUUGAGAAUAACUUUACCAGGUUAAAGAAAACUAAAAAGAUAUGACAACUGACUGCAACGCAGAAUCCUGGACCAGACCCUGGAUCUGGUCAAAAGAAAAAUGCUUUAAACGACAGUAUUGGGACAAAGGGUAAAAUUUGAAUGUGGAUCAUGUAAUAGAUGAAUAAUAUAUUGUAUCAAUGAUA